rnacentral:rRNA from 1 species
GUGGGGAAUAUUGGACAAUGGGCGAAAGCCUGAUCCAGCCAUGCCGCGUGAGUGAUGAAGGCCUUAGGGUUGUAAAGCUCUUUCAGUAGGGAAGAUAAUGACGGUACCUACAGAAGAAGCCCCGGCUAACUUCGUGCCAGCAGCCGCGGUAAUACGAAGGGGGCUAGCGUUGUUCGGAUUUACUGGGCGUAAAGCGCACGUAGGCGGAUUGUUCAGUUAGAGGUGAAAUCCUGGAGCUCAACUCCAGAACUGCCUUUAAGACUGCCAGUCUAGAGUCCAGAAGAGGUGAGUGGAACUCCUAGUGUAGAGGUGGAAUUCGUAGAUAUUAGGAAGAACACCAGUGGCGAAGGCGGCUCACUGGUCUGGUACUGACGCUGAGGUGCGAAAGCGUGGGGAGCAAACAGGAUUAGAUACCCCUGUAGUCC